rnacentral:rRNA from 1 species
AUUGAACGCUGGCGGCAGGCCUAACACAUGCAAGUCGAGCGGAUGAAGGGAGCUUGCUCCUGGAUUCAGCGGCGGACGGGUGAGUAAUGCCUAGGAAUCUGCCUGGUAGUGGGGGAUAACGUCCGGAAACGGGCGCUAAUACCGCAUACGUCCUGAGGGAGAAAGUGGGGGAUCUUCGGACCUCACGCUAUCAGAUGAGCCUAGGUCGGAUUAGCUAGUUGGUGGGGUAAAGGCCUACCAAGGCGACGAUCCGUAACUGGUCUGAGAGGAUGAUCAGUCACACUGGAACUAAGACACGGUCCAGACUCCUACGGGAGGCAGCAGCGGGGAAUAUUGGACAAUGGGCGAAAGCCUGAUCCGGCCAUGCCGCGUGUGUGAAGAAGGUCUUCGGAUUGUAAAGCACGUUAAGUUGGGAGGAAGGGCAGUAAGGUAAUACCUUGCUGUUUUGACGUUACCAACAGAAUAAGCACCGGCUAACUUCGUG